rnacentral:rRNA from 2 species
CAGUUUCUAUCCUCUUUUUGAAAUGAGCUAAUUUUGUACGAAAGGACUUUUUCGCUAAAGCAAUGCUUUGUCACAAAUCUGUGGUUGCAUAAAUAAUAGGGUAUGAUAGGUUGAUUAGCCUAUAGGAAGGGUUA